AGCUCGACUCUUCUCUCCUUUUGUUUUAUUCUUCUUUUCUCUCUACAAAUCCUGUGGUGAGGGAUUUGGAGGAGUUGAGACUUUUGGCUGUGAGAAAAUUUAAGAGCAAGGGAAACCAGGAAUUCAGAGAUGAGGUUUGUUGUGCUCUUGGAUAGGGUUUGAGGUCCACACGUGAACAGCGCGGCGACACGAGGAAAGGGAGUAGCUCGGUAGAUAGCGCCCUACCACAUGAGACCAGAGAUAGUAGUGCCCCGAGUCAGUUUAGCUUAGAGGCGUAGAAAUGAGAGAAUGAAACAAUUUGUACUAAAGAUGGUUGUACUUGGAAGUUGAAUGUAAACUUAAUGUAAAUAUGAUGUAAAAUGAGCUGAAUGCUUGUAAUAGCUUGGCAGUUAUGUCUUUGAUACCUUCCUUAUGCAAUCGAUGUAUGAAUUCUGUUCCUAUUUGGAACCUUGUGAAUUGUACUGUUGCGACGCCUUGGAUGUACAGGAGAAACUCUGUCCGUUUGGCGGUCUGUUAGCGUGCCGAAUAUGACCAAAGUGGCGGGUCUCGAGGCGUUUC